rnacentral:rRNA from 1 species
UACGUAGGGUGCGAGCGUUAAUCGGAAUUACUGGGCUUAAAGGGUGCGUAGGCGGCGCGGAAAGUAGGGUGUGAAAUCCCUCGGCUCAACCGAGGAAUUGCGCCCUAAACUACCGUGCUCGAGGGAGAUAGAGGUGAGCGGAACUUAGGGUGGAGCGGUGAAAUGCGUUGAUAUCCUAAGGAACACCGGUGGCGAAAGCGGCUCACUGGAUCUCUUCUGACGCUGAGGCACGGAAAGCUAGGGUAGCGAACGGGG